rnacentral:rRNA from 1 species
GACGAACGCUGGCGGCGUGCUUAACACAUGCAAGUCGAACGGUGACCUGAGGUGCUUGCACUUUGGUGAUCAGUGGCGAACGGGUGAGUAACACGUGAGCAAUCUGCCCUGGACUCUGGGAUAAGCGUUGGAAACGACGUCUAAUACCGGAUACGAGGCGUGGGGGCAUCCCCAACGCCUGGAAAGAACUUCGGUCCAGGAUGAGCUCGCGGCCUAUCAGGUAGUUGGUGAGGUAAUGGCUCACCAAGCCUACGACGGGUAGCCGGCCUGAGAGGGUGACCGGCCACACUGGGACUGAGACACGGCCCAGACUCCUACGGGAGGCAGCAGUGGGGAAUAUUGCACAAUGGGCGCAAGCCUGAUGCAGCAACGCCGCGUGAGGGACGACGGCCUUCGGGUUGUAAACCUCUUUUAGCAGGGAAGAAGCGAAAGUGACGGUACCUGCAGAAAAAGCACCGGCUAACUACGUGCCAGCCGCCGCCGUAAAAC